UGGAAGAAAGAACCAACAUGCCUUGAGAGUCCUUGUUCCUGCCUAAGAGGAGUUUCUUUGGUUUCCAGGGUGCAGAGAGCUGCAGGCUAACAUGCCUUCCUGAUCGUGGCCAUUUGUGGCUGGAUUUGAUGCUUUCCUCUGGCCUGUUAAGAGACACUGAGCUGGGUGUGGAGGGCCAUCACUUGUCAUGAGAGUAUAACCCUAAAUGGGAGAGGGGUCCUCUCUAGUCUCCACUAUGGAGUGCAGUGCAGCACUGAACGCAGGACUCAGCGGGCAGGUGAGACUUGAACCAAUGGACAAAGAAGUUGCUGGUCAACCCAGUGGAGGUGGCAGCUGUGGCUGGCAGUGGGGGACAGAAGGACAUGCAGGGAAGUGGUAUAGCCACCAGAGGAAGCCGGAGCACCCAAAGGAAUGGUGGAAUUCAACAGAAGUGCAAACACAGAAGGAGGAGCACCUGGAGGAAAUGGAGGACGGAAGGUACAAUUUCGCUUAAAGGAUGUAAGGGAGACUAGAUGACCUCCAAACACGACUUUCUGCCCAGGACCCUGCGGCCUACACCGUGCACGGCGGACCCGCGGCACUGGAGGAGAGGUAAUGCCUUCUCUAUUCUAUUUAAAAUCCCACCGUACGCGGCCCCCACAGCAUUCUUCUACUUUCUCAGCAUUCUCUUUCUUGUCAUUUCCCACCAUCAUGUGAUAUUAAAACAGAAAAAAAAAAGAGUGAUUCUGUUAGGGAUGUGAAAGGGGAGUUUUUAAAGUGAAAAAAAUCAAAAGCAGACCAUGCUCCUUCUCAUAUGUCACUUGUUUGCUCACCCUCAGACCACUCCUGUACAUUAGUCCGUUUCAUUCUUUCUAUCAUGCCAUUUUUAGAAAGUUAAUGUUUCAUAUUUCUCAGAAAGGACUGUUUAAACCACCAGACAUCCCAGAUGCUUUGACAGUUGCUUCGAGCACUUCAAAAAGUUCUUGAGCGAAAACAUGGAUUGGAUCUUUGUAGGCUCCUCAGGGGGACAAGCAGUACCUCUUGCAUUGAUUAUAAUUUUCUGCCUCUAGAAUCCUUUCAUCUUCAUUAAUAGGAAGAGAAAUAUCGACUUGCAAAUACUUCCGAAGACUCAAAUAGUGAUGUUUUAAAUUCAGUCAAGAUAUAUGAGUCCCAAGACAAUGAAGUACCUAAGUAUGAUAUUAUCAAGUUAUAAAUGACCUGUUUUUCAUCACCACCUUGAAAAAAAGUUUAAAAAAAUGAACCUAUUUCCAAGUGGACCUCUAAAAUAGCACCAGCCAAGCAUGAGAUUGGGAUAAAGCAUUUCAUCAAAAUGUCCAUAGAUCAUUUCUUUUAGGUGUAGAUGAGUAUCUUGCAAGUUGCCACACAGUGCACAUUUUUAUAGUUGCAUUGGAGAGCAAUGUGAUAAUAUCUUGCUAG